AAGUCGUAACAAGGUUUCCGUAGGUGAACCUGCGGAAGGAUCAUUAACGAAUUUGCGACUGAAAAGUCACUAAUUCCACACUAUGUUUUAAGUGUUUUUUUUUUUCGUUAAGAGAAGACACGAAGACUGUUCAUAUCACACAUAUGACAAACAAACAAACCAAAAAAAAAUUAAAACUUUCAACAACGGAUCUCUUGGUUCUG
rnacentral:misc_RNA from 1 species